rnacentral:lncRNA from 10 species
UCCAGCUGCCCAUGGACCCCACCAACACCAGCUCUGACAUAGGAGGGGAAACAGCCCCGAGAGGGUUUUCUGAAUGUGGGUGGAUCUUGGUUUGAUGGCCAUCUUUUUCUUCCUCUCUGUCGAGAAUGUGCCUUGGCAAGCAUUGGAGAAGCCCAGCACAGCUUUUGUGAGCCAGAAAGGUUAAAACUGAGCUGACAGGACAGCCCCAGCUCUCUGCUGUUGUCCUGGAAGCUGGGAAGUCCUGGAUCAAGACACCAAUAGAUUUGGUACCUGCAUGAGAACAGACUAAUACAAAGGCUCUACCCUCAUCACCUCCAGAAGCUAAAUCACCUCCCAGAAGCCUCAUCUCCUAAUACCAUCUCAUUGGGGGUUAUAAUUUCAACGUAC